UUUUUAUUGAGAGUUUGAUCCUGGCUCAGGACGAACGCUGGCGGUAUGCUUAACACAUGCAAGUCGAACGAGAAAGUUUUGAAUGAUCCUUCGGGUGAAAUUAGAACUGGAAAGUGGCGAACGGGUGAGUAACGCGUGGGUAACCUGCCCUAUGGAAAGGAAUAGCCUCGGGAAACUGGGAGUAAAGCCUUAUAUUAUGGUUUUGUCGCAUGGCAAGAUCAUGAAAACUCCGGUGCCAU
rnacentral:rRNA from 1 species